AACUGCCAAAGCCCUGACCUUACGGAAGGGUGCAUUUAUUAGAACAAAACCAAGCGACUUCGGUCGUUUUUUGUUGACUCAGAAUAACUAAGCUGAUCGCAUGGUCUUGCACCGGCGACGUGUCUUUCAAGUAUCUGCCUUAUCAACUUUCGAUGGUAGUGUAUCUGACUACCAUGGUGGUGACGGGUAACGGAGGAUAAGGGUUUGACUCCGGAGAAGGGGCCUGAGAAAUGGCCACUACGUCUAAGGAUGGCAGCAGGCGCGCAAAUUACCCACUCUCAGAACGAGGAGGUAGUGACGAAAAAUAACGAGACCGUUCUCUACGAGGCCGGUCAUCGGAAUGGGUACAAUCUAAACCCUUUAACGAGUAUCUAUGAGAGGGCAAGUCUGGUGCCAGCAGCCGCGGUAAUUCCAGCUCUCAAAAUGCAUAGAAUUAUUGCUGCGGUUAAAAAGCUCGUAGUUGGAUCUGUGCUGAGGACCUGGUCCACCUUCGGGUGCGUACUAGGCUCCACGGCUUUUCUGCCGGUUUUCCCGUCAUGGCUUUCAUCGGCUGUGGCGGGUGGCUGGUGAUUUUACUUUGAACAAAUCAGAGUGCUUCAAACAGGCGUUUAGCUUGAAUGUUUUUGCAUGGAAUAAUAGAAGAGGAUUUCGGUUCUAUUUUAUUGGUUUUAUAGACUGAAAUAAUGGUUAACAGAGACCAACGGGGGCAUUCGUACCGCUGCGUGAGAGGUGAAAUUCUUGGACCGCAGCGAGACGAACUACAGCGAAAGCAUUUGCCAAGAAGGUCUUCAUUAAUCAAGAACGAAAGUCAGAGGUUCGAAGGCGAUCAGAUACCGCCCUAGUUCUGACCGUAAACGAUGCCAACUAGCGAUCUGCCGGUGGAAUUUUCGCCCUGGUAGGGAGCUUCCCGGAAACGAAAGUCUUCCGGUUCCGGGGGAAGUAUGGUUGCAAAGCUGAAACUUAAAGGAAUUGACGGAAGGGCACCACCGGGAGUGGAGCCUGCGGCUUAAUUUGACUCAACACGGGGAAACUCACCCGGCCCGGACACCAUAAGGAUUGACAGAUUGAUAGCUUUUUCAUGAUUUGGUGGAUGGUGGUGCAUGGCCGUUCUUAGUUCGUGGAACGAUUUGUCUGGUUUAUUCC
rnacentral:rRNA from 1 species